GAUGAACGCUGGCGGCGUGCCUAAUACAUGCAAGUCGAGCGAACGGACGAGAAGCUUGCUUCUCUGAUGUUGGCGGCGGACGGGUGAGUAACACGUGGAUAACCUACCUAUAAGACUGGGAUAACUUCGGGAAACCGGAGCUAAUACCGGAUAAUAUUUUGAACCGCAUGGUUCAAAAGUGAAAGACGGUCUUGCUGUCACUUAUAGAUGGAUCCGCGCUGCAUUAGCUAGUUGGCAAGGUAACGGCUUACCAAGGCAACGAUGCAUAGCCGACCUGAGAGGGUGAUCGGCCACACUGGAACUGAGACACGGUCCAGACUCCUACGGGAGGCAGCAGUAGGGAAUCUUCCGCAAUGGGCGAAAGCCUGACGGAGCAACGCCGCGUGAGUGAUGAAGGUCUUCGGAUCGUAAAACUCUGUUAUUAGGGAAGAACAUAUGUGUAAGUAACUGUGCACAUCUUGACGGUACCUAAUCAGAAAGCCACGGCUAACUACGUG
rnacentral:rRNA from 1 species